AAGUCGUAACAAGGUUUCCGUAGGUGAACCUGCGGAAGGAUCAUUACAUUCAGUAGCUUGCUACUGUUAGGAGGGUCUGUUAGUCUGUAUAGUAUCACUACUGAUGAGCAGCGCGACCCUCUGUCUGUACCCUUGUCUUUUGCGCACUCAUGUUUCCUCGGCGGGUCUAUACCCGCCGGCUGGACAACUCUAUAACCUUUUUAAUUUUCAAUCAGCGUCUGAAAAACCUAAUAAUUACAACUUUCAACAACGGAUCUCUUGGUUCUGGCAUCGAUGAAGAACGCAGCGAAAUGCGAUAAGUAGUGUGAAUUGCAGAAUUCAGUGAAUCAUCGAAUCUUUGAACGCACAUUGCGCCCCUUGGUAUUCCAUGGGGCAUGCCUGUUCGAGCGUCAUUUGUACCCUCAAGCUUUGCUUGGUGUUGGGUGUUUGUCCCGCGCUCUUUUGCGCAAGACUCGCCUUAAAUCAAUUGGCAGCCGGCAUGUUAGCCUGGAGCGCAGCACAUUUUGCGCCCCUUGCUUGCUUGUGUUGGCCCCCAUCAAGUCCAUAUAUUUGCUCUUGACCUCGGAUCAGGUAGGGAUACCCGCUGAACUUAAGCAUAUCAAUAAGCGGAGGAAAAGAAACCAACAGGGAUUGCCCUAGUAACGGCGAGUGAAGCGGCAACAGCUCAAAUUUGAAAUCUGGCUCUUUUAGAGUCCGAGUUGUAAUUUGCAGAGGGCGCUUUGGCGUUGGCAGCGGUUCAGGUUCCUUGGAACAGGACGUCACAGAGGGUGAGAAUCCCGUACGUGGUCGCUAGCCUUCGCCGUGUAAAGCCUCUUCGACGAGUCGAGUUGUUUGGGAAUGCAGCUCUAAAUGGGAGGUAAAUUUCUUCUAAAGCUAAAUACUGGCCAGAGACCGAUAGCGCACAAGUAGAGUGAUCGAAAGAUGAAAAGCACUUUGGAAAGAGAGUCAAAUAGCACGUGAAAUUGUUAAAAGGGAAGCGCUUGCAGCCAGACUUGCCCGUAGUUGCUCAUCCAGGCUUUUGCCUGGUGCACUCUUCUAUGGGCAGGCCAGCAUCAGUUUGGGCGGUUGGAUAAAGGUCUCUGUCAUGUACCUCCUUUCGGGGAGGCCUUAUAGGGGAGACGACAUGCAACCAGCCUGGACUGAGGUCCGCGCAUUUAUGCUAGGAUGCUGGCGUAAUGGCUGUAAGCGGCC
rnacentral:rRNA from 1 species